AUGGCGGUGGUGAGCGCCGCGCACGGCGCCUUUGGGCCCCUGCUCGGGAAGCUCACGGCCUUGCUCGCCGACGAGUGCGGCCGGCUGAAAGGGGUCCGCCGCGAGAUCCGCUCCCUCAGAUCCGAGCUCGCCAGCAUGCACGCCGCGCUCAAGGAGUACACCAAGCUGGACGACCCGAGCGACCAGGUCAAGGCCUGGAUCUCGCUGGUCAGGGAGCUGGCCUACGACACCGAGGACGUCUUCGACAAGUUCAUCCACCACCUCGGCGACAGCCCAGACCACGGCGGCUUCAAGGAGUUGUUCCGCAAGGCCGCUCGCCGUCUCAAGACGCUUGGAGCUAGGCACGGAAUCGCCGGCGAGAUCCAUGACCUCAAGGACCGCAUCAGGCAAGUGAAAGAGCUCAAGGAUUGUUACAAGCUGCCGAAUAAUGCUCCUUCCAGCACCGCUGGCCCUGCAGCCGUGGAUCCGCGCCUGCACGCACUUUUUGCUGAUGAGGCACACCUUGUGGGCAUCGACGGUCCAAGAGACCAUCUUGCCAAGUGGAUGUUGGAAGAAGCAAACACAUCGCCCAAACAUUGCAAGGUCUUGUCUAUUGUUGGGUUUGGUGGUUUGGGCAAAACAACGCUGGCAAAUGAGGUUUGCCGCGAGAUUCAAGGGGAGUUUGAUUGUAAGGCUUUCGUGUCGGUCUCGCAAAAACCAGAUAUAAAGAAAAUUAUCAAGGAUGUGAUCUCUCAAGUGUCAUGCCAAGGUGGAUCCACAAAAGACGAUACCACUGAUUGGGAUGAAAUGAAGUCUAUUUCAGAGCUAAGAGUACUACUGCAAAAUAAAAGGUAUCUCAUCAUCAUCGAUGAUGUAUGGUCUACACAAGCAUGGCACGCUAUCAAGUGUGCUUUUCCAGAGAAUGAUUGUUCUAGCAGAAUUAUAGCUACUACACGCAUCAUUGACGUAGCAAAGUCAUGUUGUCUGAGUGCUGACGACCGUGUGUAUGAAUUGGAAGCCCUAAGUGAUCUCCACUCUAGAAGAUUGUUUUUCAAAAGAUUAUUUCGCUCUGAGGAAGAUUGCCCUGAAAUGUUGAAGGAAGUUUCUAAUAAAAUUUUAAAGAAAUGUGGAGGCCUACCAUUGGCAAUUAUCAGCAUAUCUGGUUUGCUAGCAAACCGACCAGCCAUCAAGGAAGAAUGGGAGAAGGUUAAGAGGUCAAUUGGUACUGCACUGGAGAAAACUAACAGUCUAGAGGGCAUGAGUAGCAUACUAUCUCUUAGCUAUAAUGAUCUUGCACCUCAUCUCAAGACUUGCUUGUUGUACCUAAGUUUGUUUCCCGAAGACCAUUUGAUUUACAGAGAUAGGCUAGUGAGGCGAUGGAUAGCAGAAGGCUUCAUCUCUGAAGAGCGUGGACAGAGCAAGCAAGAGGUCGCGGAGAAUUACUUCUAUGAGCUGAUCAACAAAAGUAUGGUCCAACCGGUGGACAUUGAGUAUGAUGGAAAGGUCCGUGCCUGCCGAGUCCAUGACAUGAUGUUAGAAAUUAUUAUUUCAAAAUCAGCUGAAGAUAAUUUUACCACUGUGGUAGGUGGAGGUCAAACUAGUUUGCUAAAUCAUCAAGAUUCAAUUCGGCGGCUAUCAAUCCAGCACAUUGACAAGAAACUUGCAUCUGAACUGGCAAAUGUAGAUCUCAGCCAUGUUCGAACUUUGAUAGUAAUGCCAUCAUGUUGCAUCACACACUUGCCCAGUCUUGAUCGGUUUGAAGCUUUACGUGUUCUGGAUUUUGAAGGUUGUGAGGAUUUAAAGGACUGUGAUAUGAAAGGCAUGGACAAAUUAUUCCAGCUAAAGUACCUCAGCUUUACGGGCACAGGUAUAUCAAAGCUACCAGCAGGGAUCGUGAUGCUAGGUAAUCUAGAGACCCUAGAUUUUACGAAUACAGAUGUGGAAGAGUUACCUGCUGGAAUUACUAGGCUGACUGAACUACAACACCUAAACGGAUAUCUGAACAAGCAUCUACCAAACGGGAUUGGGGGCAUGAGGAACUUACAGCUGAUGCCCAAAUUUAUUAUUACCUCGCAAGAAACAGAUGUGUUGGAGGAUCUCGGGAACCUGACAAGUUUGGAGGAACUCAAUGUGCAUCUUGGUAGGAAUGUAUCUUGCGAGGACAAGAGAUGUGAGAAAGAGGCGUUCCUCUCCUCACUCUGCAAGCUUGGCAACUGCAAACUCCGUUCUUUGCUUAUAAAUGCGUACGGUGGUUCCCUCGACUUCUCAGAUUCCUGGUCCCCUCUGCCAUCUUCUCUUCAAAGAUUUUGGGCGGCCAACCGCGAUUCGUUUACAAACGUUCCGAAGUGGAUUACACCAGAACUCAUUAACCUUGCCGAUCUCUUGAUCUCCUUAACUGAACUGACGGAAGAUGGGCUGCUUACCCUUGGGCAGCUCCCAUCCUUACUCCGCCUGCGACUAUGGCCAUCAAAGAAGUUUGUUGGUACAGUCCAAGCCACUUCUUUCCCAAAUCUGAAGGUGCUUUCCUUCAGAGCUGAACAAGUAUAUGUUUCGUUCGUGAAAGGGUCUGCGCCCAAGCUUGAGGAAAUUAGCAGAAUGCCAUUCAGUGUGUCGGCUGCAAAAGCUAAUAAAUUCUAUUUAGGCAUCCAUCAUCUCUCAUGUCUCAAACGAGCUCACAUACUACUUGAUGACGAAGACGCAACACCUUCAGAAUGCAAGGCUGCAGCUGCUGCCAUCAGGAAAGAAGCGGAUAUCAAUGCCAACCAUCCUGCAGUUACUUUUCUGGGGGAACCAAAGGAAGAGGACAAUGAAGAGACGGUUGCCGGUGAAGAGGAGAAGAGCAACGAAGAUGGUGACGCCGAUGAGGAUUAA
rnacentral:rRNA from 1 species